rnacentral:rRNA from 1 species
GAUGAACGCUGGCGGCGUGCCUAACACAUGCAAGUCGAGCGAUUCUCUUCGGAGAAGAGCGGCGGACGGGUGAGUAACGCGUGGGUGACCUGCCCUGUACACACGGAUAACAUACCGAAAGGUAUGCUAAUACGAGAUAAUAUACUUUUAUCGCAUGGUAGAAGUAUCAAAGCUUUUGCGGUACAGGAUGGACCCGCGUCUGAUUAGCUAGUUGGUAAGGUAAUGGCUUACCAAGGCGACGAUCAGUAGCCGACCUGAGAGGGUGAUCGGCCACAUUGGAACUGAGACACGGUCCAAACUCCUACGGGAGGCAGCAGUGGGGAAUAUUGCACAAUGGGCGAAAGCCUGAUGCAGCAACGCCGCGUGAGCGAUGAAGGCCUUCGGGUCGUAAAGCUCUGUCCUCAAGGAAGAUAAUGACGGUACUUGAGGAGGAAGCCCCGGCUAACUACGUGCCAGCCGCCGCAGUAA